rnacentral:rRNA from 1 species
GACGAACGCUGGCGGCGUGCCUAAUACAUGCAAGUCGAACGCUUUUUCUUUCACCGGAGCUUGCUCCACCGAAAGAAAAAGAGUGGCGAACGGGUGAGUAACACGUGGGUAACCUGCCCAUCAGAAGGGGAUAACACUUGGAAACAGGAGCUAAUACCGUAUAACACUAUUUUCCGCAUGGAAGAAAGUUGAAAGGCGCUUUUGCGUCACUGAUGGAUGGACCCGCGGUGCAUUAGCUAGUUGGUGAGGUAACGGCUCACCAAGGCAACGAUGCAUAGCCGACCUGAGAGGGUGAUCGGCCACACUGGGACUGAGACACGGCCCAGACUCCUACGGGAGGUAGCAGUAGGGAAUCUUCGGCAAUGGACGAAAGUCUGACCGAGCAACGCCGCGCGAGUGAAGAAGGGUUUCGGAUCGUAAAACUCUGUUGUUAGAGAAGAACAAGGAUGAGAGUAAAACGUUCAUCCCUUGACGGUAUCUAACCAGAAAGCCACGGCUAACUACGUGCCAGCAGCCGCAGUAA